UCCCACAAGAUUAGAACCAAUUUUUUUUUUCAUCUUUCCACUGAGGAUGUAUAUGCAGGACAAAUAGUUAAGGAAUUCUUCGUUUAUGAUGGGA
rfam:Zygosaccharomyces rouxii strain CBS732 chromosome A complete sequence.